rnacentral:rRNA from 1 species
CGAACGCUGGCGGCGUGUUUAAUACAUGCAAGUCGAACGGGAAAUCCUGACUUCGGUCGGGAGAGUAUAGUGGCGAACGGGUGAGUAACGCGUGGAUAAUCUGCCCUUGAGUGGGGAAUAACAUUUCGAAAGGAAUGCUAAUACCGCAUAACACUCAUUUAUCUCCUGGUAGAUAAGUCAAAGGAGGCCUCUCAUUGAAGCUUUCGCUUGAGGAGGAAUCCGCGUUCCAUUAGCUUGUUGGUGAGGUAACGGCUCACCAAGGCUGCGAUGGAUAGCCGGCCUGAGAGGGUGAUCGGCCACACUGGGACUGAGACACGGCCCAGACUCCUACGGGAGGCUGCAGUAGAGAAUCUUGCGCAAUGCGCGAAAGCGUGACGCAGCGACGCCGCGUGGAUGAUGAAGGUCUUAGGAUCGUAAAAUCCUGUCGAGAGGGAAGAAAACUUCAAUACUAAUAAUGUUGAAGCUUGACAGUACCUCUGGAGGAAGCCCCGGCUAACUAU